AACGAACGCUGGCGGCAUGCCUAACACAUGCAAGUCGAACGAACCCUUCGGGGUUAGUGGCGCACGGGUGCGUAACGCGUGGGAAUCUGCCCUUUGCUUCGGAAUAACAGUUAGAAAUGACUGCUAAUACCGGAUGAUGUCUUCGGACCAAAGAUUUAUCGGCAAAGGAUGAGCCCGCGUAGGAUUAGGUAGUUGGUGGGGUAAGGGCCUACCAAGCCGACGAUCCUUAGCUGGUCUGAGAGGAUGAUCAGCCACACUGGGACUGAGACACGGCCCAGACUCCUACGGGAGGCAGCAGUGGGGAAUAUUGGACAAUGGGCGCAAGCCUGAUCCAGCAAUGCCGCGUGAGUGAUGAAGGCCUUCGGGUCGUAAAGCUCUUUUACCAGGGAUGAUAAUGACAGUAC
rnacentral:rRNA from 1 species